rnacentral:lncRNA from 1 species
UCACAAUCUUUCCAAGCUUCCUUAUAAAUGGUUUACAACUGUCGAGAAACGUACACGAGAAUCUAACAUUUUUAUAUACAUGUAGUUCAUCCUUUCAUCUCAUUCCUAACUACCUCGUUAGAAUGUAACUAGCACCAUAAUUAAACAAACUUUACACACAAUACCUUUGGCAACAACCCAAGAUUCCUAAAAAGCCUUAAUAUUCUCACCUAUCUCUUCUUCUUAACGAUCAAACAUGAUGGGAACAAUCCUUACAAUAUUCUAACGUCUACUACACGCUCGAUCUAUAUGCGAAAAGUAUCAAUUGGGCGGAUAGUACUACACCCAUCAUAUUACUUUUGAUUAACUCGUCAAACUCAGAACCCACCAUACUAGGUGUUACAAUUAACCUACAGGAGGGACAUGACCAUGUGGCAGGUAGUGUGGAAGGUUCUUGGCUAUGUGAGAUUCGAACUAGCUUAGGGUUUGCAAGGUGCAUGGUCGUGUGGUCCACACGCCCAUGUGACCCUAAGCCUACACACAAUUUAUCUCGAUUCACUUGUAAAAGAACACACACUUUUCAUUAGGAGCCCGAUCGACGUUCCUCACGAUCAAAUAUGAUCCGAUGUACCCAAAACAUGCC